rnacentral:rRNA from 1 species
AGUGAACGCUGGCGGUAGGCCUAACACAUGCAAGUCGAACGGCAGCACAGUAAGAGCUUGCUCUUACGGGUGGCGAGUGGCGGACGGGUGAGGAAUACAUCGGAAUCUACUUUUUCGUGGGGGAUAACGUAGGGAAACUUACGCUAAUACCGCAUACGACCUACGGGUGAAAGCAGGGGAUCUUCGGACCUUGCGCGAUUGAAUGAGCCGAUGUCGGAUUAGCUAGUUGGCGGGGUAAAGGCCCACCAAGGCGACGAUCCGUAGCUGGUCUGAGAGGAUGGUCAGCCACACUGGAACUGAGACACGGUCCAGGCUCCUGCGGGAGGCAGCAGUGGGGAAUAUUGGACAAUGGGCGCAAGCCUGAUCCAGCCAUACCGCGUGGGUGAAGAAGGCCUUCGGGUUGUAAAGCCCUUUUGUUGGGAAAGAAAAGCAGCAGGUUAAUACCCCGCUGUUCUGACGGUACCCAAAGAAUAAGCACCGGCUAACUUCGUG